rnacentral:rRNA from 1 species
UAACGAAUAUUAGAAAUGGACCAAAGUCUGAUCUAGCAACACCGCGUGUCCGAAGAAGGCCUUCGGGUUGUAAAGCACUUUUUGGAAGGAUUAGGAAGGAAUGUACUUCCAGAAUAAGUCUCGGCUAACUACGUGCCAGCAGCCGCGGUAACACGUAGGAGGCAAACGUUAUCCGGAAUUACUGGGCGUAAAGCGCGUGUAGGCGGUCCUGCAAGUCUGAUGUGAAAGCCCCGGGCUUAACCCGGGAAGUGCAUUGGAAACUGUGGGACUUGAGUACUGGAGAGGAUGGGGGAAUUCCGGGUGUAGCGGUGGAAUGCGCAGAUAUCCGGAGGAACACCAGUGGCGAGAGCGUCCUCCUGGACCAUUCCUGACACUCAGACGCGAAAGCUAGGGUAGGAAACG